GAUGAACGCUGGCGGCGUGCCUAAUACAUGCAAGUCGAGCGAACGGACGAGAAGCUUGCUUCUCUGAUGUUAGCGGCGGACGGGUGAGUAACACGUGGAUAACCUACCUAUAAGACUGGGAUAACUUCGGGAAACCGUAGCUAAUACCGGAUAAUAUUUUGAACCGCAUGGUUCAAAAGUGAAAGACGGUCUUGCUGUCACUUAUAGAUGGAUCCGCGCUGCAUUAGCUAGUUGGUAAGGUAACGGCUUACCAAGGCAACGAUGCAUAGCCGACCUGAGAGAGUGAUCGGCCACACGGGAACUGAGACACGGUCCAGACGCCUACGGGAGGCAGCAGAAGGGAAUCUUCCGCAAUAGGCGAAAGCCUGACGGAGCAACGCCGCGUGAGUGAUGAAAGUCUUCGGAUCGUAAAACUCUGUUAUUAGGGAAGAACAUAUGUGUAAGUAACUGUGCACAUCUUGACGGUACCUAAUCAGAAAGCCACGGCUAACUACGUG
rnacentral:rRNA from 1 species